CGCGUUUGGUCGCAGGAUAGUGGAGCAGCAGUUCGUGCGUGCGGCCUCGAAGCGUAGUAUUCUUAUUAUUAACCGCGGGAGCAAGGCUGUCACGUAGUUUGGCCACGUGUUCUAAAAAAAUAUUUGCCGUCCGAUCCAAGAUCAACGCUGCACGUUAAGUGUUUGUAUACGGCAUCUACGGUGUCCUGGAAGUAUCCGGAGAUCGCCAUAUGGAUAAAAAAGGAAAGCCAAAUAUCUUCUUUCUACUCCGGCCGAAGAAGACUGGACACCGCACCACUGAACGAACGAAGGCGACGGAUACGACGUGAAGGUGGCAGGUGACUUCGAUGCCGCAAAGCACGCGACUUGGACAUCCUCCUCAUCUAUCCUGCUGCCAAAAAUUGCCAACGCUUCCUUCCAGUCCUUCACAACAUCAAUCUAGGCAUCUGGCUCUGUUGAAGCAGCAAAUCUUCACGGAUAGCACGUAGCGAAAGCAAAUCUACACGCGAUCUGUGCGGAUUGGCAAAUUCCCGGUGGCCAUCACGGUGUGACACUGCAGAACUGAGCCAGUGCGUUGCGUAAUUGGGGCAAAAAAAUGAAUCUGACGGUUGUAGAAGUAUGCGGCCAUCCCCGAUUCAAUCCAAUGUCAUCCCAAAUCCGAGCACAGACGCAAUAGCAACAUCUCCUAAUCUCCUUUCUCUUCCUCCCCACAUCAACGGCUCCACCCGGCCGGCUUUUUUUUCCUUUAAUUUUUCCCACAACAUGCAAGCUAUCCACUCUCGUCGGCUUUCUCUGUAUGUAUCCUAUUGUUCCCCUCUGCUGCAUCCUAGUAGAUCUGUACAGUCUUAAGUAUUAUGAUUCCAAUCACCAAAUAUUGCGCUGAUUUCGUAUAGACACCGUGUGUGUUUAUGAAGAAAUAUAUAUGUGUUAGUGUGUUACUCUGUUACCCAUAACUAUGGCCUUGUAUGGUUACCUAGAGAUUCUCAUAAUUAGAUAAAAUCUAUCCGUUAGAGAUCCAAACAUUUUGCUUUCCAUGUCUUGGUUAAUGUGUUGUGUGAAAGAAUCUCAAUUAUUAUCCUUACGUUGCAUUUUCUUGGGUAUUGUCAAAUGUCAUCUUAUUAUACAUUAUGCAUUACAUCUAACAUAGUUUAUUCAUCUUACACAAAUUAACAUUUUCAUAGCUUACUUAAACCUGAUACCAAUAUAUAAUUGAAAAUAACUCUUCUAUUCAGGCCAUGUUUGUUUUGGAUUAUAAUCUCUCUAGAUUAUAUAAUCCAGCAUAAAUAAUUUAGCAAGUAAACAAACACCUAGAUUAUGGGUUCAGAUUAUAUAAUCUAAAGCCUAGAUUAUGAUAAUCUCAUAAUCUCCUCAAGAGUAGCUUAUUUGAGAUCAUUUUGGCAAAAGGCCCACUACCCAUGGUUAUGUAAAUAGAAAUUACAAUAUAUGCCAUCCUUUUUUACCCACCUCAAAUAAACAAAUAAGGGUACCGCUGUCUUUAUGAAUAAUCUACAUUUAUAUAAUCUAAACUACCAAACAACUAUAUGUAGAUUAUAAUAUAUCUAGAUUAUAUAAUCUAUAAGCUGAAACAAACAGGGCCUUCAAUACAGUUCCUCCUUUCAUUGCAUACGCAUGCAUACUUUUGUACAAGUUUUACAACGCAUCCAGCAUCCAGGUUUCAGAUUUACUAUAUUAACCGCGGGAGCAUAGAAGCUCAGUCGAGAUGGCCACGCCAUUUCUUUCGACUGAAAUCGUACGAUCUUUAUCCAACGGCCAGGUAAAGCGAGUAGGUCUCUCACCAGUAGCACGACAAGAGAGUUCUAGAGAAAUCUUCGUUGCUCUGAAGCAGGUCUCUCAGCAGCAGCACAACGAGAUCGUUCUAGAUAAAUCUUCGUCGCUCUCAUGAUCCCAUCCCUUCCCAUAUUUCGCCGUCCACAAAUAGUCGAACUGAAUCCCAGAUCACUCAGAAAUUGCCACCAAAAAGGGAACAGAGUGAGCGAGACCUCGCCAAAUUGCCAACCAAGCCUGCUCCCCCCGCCUAGGCCAGUAUGAUAAUAGAGAAAAAGCAAGCAGGAGGGAUGGGCGAGUGAGAUGCUUCGUUCACGUUCCAGCGACGGUUAAAGCUGGUGGAGCUGGUGCCAUUGGCGAUGCCCAGAUGCGAGCAUGUGCAGCCUGGUUGACGUCAGACGAGCUAGGCACGUUGGACGGGCCUAAAGCGUUCGACGAAAUACCUCCCCAAGAGUGCGCUGUGUGCCAGACCGGCAUAGCGUCUUGGUUUCGUUGCACAUUAAUCUAACCUUUGAUGCAACUAGGAGAGAUUUUAUUAUCCAAGAUUGUGAAAGUCAGACAUUUGCUUGUACCUUCCCAUUAUGAAUGGAUAUUCUCGAAGAUGGAAAAUAUUCUCGAA